CUCCACCGGCUGCUCGCCGGCUGCAUUGUGCUUGAGGCCCUUGAGCUUAGCAGGAUCCACGGCUUCAGCAGCGUCCAGAUCGUCUCGCCCACUCUCCGGAGUAUCAGUGUCUCUCUAGUUCGGCCUUUUAUGGAGUCCUACUACUUGGAAGCACAACCAGCGCUUCAGGAGCUUGUCGUCGAGGAUGCACCUUGCCAAGAUUGAUGCAAGUUGGUCCACUGGGUCCAAGCCAAAUCAAGAUGAACGCAGCGCCAAAACUGACAGUGUUGGGCUACCUGUUUGGCAAUAUAAUCAAAUGUUCGUUGCCAGGAAUUUUUGCUACUAAGGGUAUGAUCCCCAUCCCGUUCACCGGGUCGGUGCAUACAGUGAAGAUUUUGGUUCUGGAAUCCGUCGGCCCCAAUCUGGAUGCAAUUGUCCGAUGUCUUAGAUGCUUUCCCUGUCUGGAGAAGCUGUACAUCCAGGUGAAAACUUUUCUUGUUAGAAUGUUAGCAACUCCAGCAAAAUGAAUUGUAAAUAUGAAGUUAUUCAAAGCUGUUUUAAUUUUGCUCAAUCAUACAUCUCUCUCGAUGCCUAGUUUGGACUAUGGAGAUACUAUUAUUUAGUACUGUCGGUAAAGGUUUCUAUUUUUGCUAAAUUUCCCAAGAAUUUUACGAUAACAAUCUAGUGGUUAAAUCCGCAUCUAGGACUUUGAAAUCAAAAGGCAUGCUUUUUUUUUUAAGUUAAAGAGAGGUGCUCGGAGGGACUACAUUGUUUAAACUGAAUCCACAUAUCCUGCAACUAAUCGUGAUGUGAUUAGAUAUGCCAGCUAUUUUAUGAAGAAAUUAUUCUGGCACAAGUGUCCACUAUACUUCGUUCUCUUUUGCAGUCAUGCCAUAUGAAUGUUCGGCAAAAUGGUAAACUCAUCGAUCCUAUCGACUGUCUUGAUUUGCAUCUCAGAGAAAUAGUACUGAACGGCUAUCAAGGCAAGAGACGUGAGGUUAGCUUUGCCAGGUUCUUUGUUUUGCAUGCAAGGGUUCUCAAGGUAAUGAAAUUUGGUGUAUCUGGUAACUGUGACGAGAAAUGGAUGGCUAAUCAGUGCGAGCAGCUACACCUGGAUAACAGAGCUUCUACAGACACGCAGUUUUAUUUCGAAAGAGAUCGUGUUGAGUCCAGUUUUUACGAUAGCAAGCACAUCCAUGAUAUGUGGAUGCCUGAUCCCUUCGAUAGCUCAUUGUGUAAAUGCUGUUAACCAGCUUGAUGCCCUUUCAAGAGAUACGCUGUUUAUCUUUGUCGCCUAUUCUAUUCGAAACAUUAUAAUUCUAGAGUCUUUGGAAGUGCAUGUAAAAGCUACCUCUUGGUUUAUCAAACUGUUAGGCAAAACCUGGGAAGAUCAUCUUAUCAUCAUGUACUGGAAAUUUCAGCAUUCCCCCCCAUGUUCUAGUUUGCCGUGGUGGUGUCCAAAAUCUGGGGUUAUUAUUAGCUUUGAUAAUGAAUUAGUGCUUGGCUGCUUGAAAAACAAAAAACUGGGCAGGCUGGAGAUGGUCUAGUAUGUAGUAUGCAGAAAGAUCAUGUGCCAAUUUUCUGUGGUUCACCACCCGAAUUUUUUGUUUGUUUAAUUUUUGAUAUACCCACCCUGAUGUGCAUAUACACAUUUAUGCUAUGUAGUCUUUGUUCCUGAAAAGGAAUUCUAAGAAGAAAACGGCAGAUUGGCGGGCAUCUUACUUUGGUCUCUGAAAGGGCAGAUGAAAUCUAUGCCUGGAACGCGGCGGGAGUUCUUGGCGAUCAUCCCAUACAAAACGCAACCGUGGAGUGGAAUGAAUCAGGGCACCGAGGCUUGAGGAAUAAAUCUGAGUCAGGAGGAGAGGAUGGACAUGAAGACGGUGGACCAGGUGGCCGGUGAGCGCCACGGCGGCAUCGAGGAAAUUCUCCCCACUAGCUUGACCGCGUCGGGACGCACAGUGAAGGUUUUGGUUCUAGAAUCUAUCGGUCCCAAUCUGGAUGCAGUUGUUGGCUUCCUUAGAUGCUUUCCCUGCGUGGAGAAACUAUACAUCAGUCACGCCAUAGGAAGGAUAUGAAAAAUCUAUGCCAAUAUAGCACACUCGAUCCCAUCGAAUGCCUCGAACUCCAUCUCAGAGCAAUAGUAUUGAACACCUAUGAAGGCAAGAGAGCAGAUGUUAACCUUGCCAAGUUCUUUGUUCUGAACACAAAGGUGCUCAAGGUAAUGAAAUUUGGCGCCAGUGGUACCUGCAAUGAUAAAUGGGUGGCUAAUCAGCGCAGGCGGCUACAACUGGAUAUCAGUGCUUCCAGAGGUGCAAGAUUUUAUUUUAAAAGAGAUUUUGAUAUCCCCAGCUUUUGCGAUCACUAUCACUUUCAUGGUAUGUGGACAGUUGAUCCCUUUGGUAGCUCGUAGUGCAAAUGUUGUUAUCUGGUAUGACGCCCUUUCAGUGGAGUCUCUUGCAAAAAAACAGUAGCCUGAAGUAUGCUGAAAUUUAGAAGUUUUCAGAGCCAGGGGAUAUAUGUGUCUAUGCUCUUUCCAUACUGAAAUAAAUUGUUUCUAUCUCUGAAGUAUACUGGAAUUCAGAAGUCCGCAGAACCAGAGUUCAGAAGUCGACAGGGGAUUAAGUAAGCACAAGCUCCUGCCUCAGCCGGUAGAAGGGGAGGGCAGCCUCUUACUUUGGUCUCUGAAAGUUUAUGUAAAAGAGUUUGUAUUGUUUGCAGAACUGUCUUGCAAGACUAUCAUGUGAUUUGCCACGUUCCAUGGUUGGUGGGCCCCUAUGACCCGCACUAUAUAAAUAGAGGUGGGGGCCGGGACAUGAGUAACGAGGUUAAUCGCUGCCACAAACCCACCUCACUCCCUACCGAUCUAGGGUUAGCGCGGUGCUCACGGGAAGCUCCACCGCCGCCAUCCACUCUCUGCCUUCACCGGCCACUACUUCGCCACGGCCGGCACCGGCUCGAGCUUGUCAGCCAAAGGAGAAGGUAGGUUCACCGGAUGAUCUAGCCUACUCCGAUCCAAGGGAUCCAACAAGAGGAAGGCCGAUGACCAAGGCAAGUGAACAGGAGAUCAGCUUGCUCAC